rnacentral:rRNA from 1 species
CUGGUAAAGGGCCCGACGUCCGGCCGCCGGAGGCCGUGCCUGGCGGUGUUGCUGAACAUGACGCGGCACACGAACUCUGCCAGCCUGUCGAUCAUUCAAACAAGCAGGUAUGCGAACAACGCCGUGGACGUGUUCAUGAUCUCCCUCGUUAUGAGGUGGAGCACGCCGUGGACGAUGAUGGAGGCGGCAGCGCUGGCCUGGGCCAGGUCAAGGGCGAUCUCCAUGUUGGAAAUAUGCCCUAGAGGCAAUAAUAAAAUGGUUAUUAUUGUAUUUCCUUGUUCAUGA